rnacentral:rRNA from 1 species
GAUGAACGCUAGCUACAGGCUUAACACAUGCAAGUCGAGGGGAAACGACAUCGAAAGCUUGCUUUUGAUGGGCGUCGACCGGCGCACGGGUGAGUAACGCGUAUCCAACCUGCCCACCACUUGGGGAUAACCUUGCGAAAGUAAGACUAAUACCCAAUGAUAUCCCACGAAGGCAUCCGAAUGGGAUUAAAGAUUUAUCGGUGAUGGAUGGGGAUGCGUCUGAUUAGCUUGUUGCGGGUAACGCCACCAAGGCUACGAUCAGUAGGGGUCUGAGAGGAAGGUCCCCCCACAUUGGAACUGAGACACGGUCCAAACUCCUACGGGAGCAGCAGUGAGGAAUA